ACUUCACCUCUUAAAUCCAGGGUUUUCCAUUCGAGUAACGAUUAACGACGAUUCGCUAAAACUUUUUUGCCAACGAUCCGAACGACCACGUGCGUCGAUCGCCGCGUGCAGACGACGAUCACAGCUGGCACGAUCACGCUUCGUUUUCCCGACGCGAACAGAUCGCGAGUUUCGAAUUUGACCAACCACGGCGCUAGUAUCACCCGGCCACGUAUCCACGAAGGAAAGAAAUCGCGGCCAGUUAUUUACCUGUUCCUCUUUCGAGAAGGUGAAAGAGGAAGGGACCUAGGGUCCCCACCAUUUCCUACUUGCUAGUCCCUCCGUCUUUCCUUGCAACUGAUGUUGUCUCGCGUGGCGAAAUAAAAUCUUUCUCGUUCGUCAAUUUCCAUUUCUACUUCGAAUUGGUAUUUCGCGCACCAGGAGAAGAUGACUUUUGCUACGAAUUCGAUAAAUCGAUUCGAUUAUUUUCCUCUCACCAACUUCACGUUGUGCAACAUCGCGUAAGUAAAUACGAAUUCCACUGGCAUCGAAAGCGCGUGAUAAUGCGCAUACACGCUUCUCAAGGAUCUUGAUCGAGGAUAAAAAAGAUGGAUUGGGGAUAAAGGAAAAAAAUACGCGUCUGUUCCUACCAAGGAUCUCGUUGGAUGAGGAUGACGGAACGGAAUCUUCAACGGUUCGAUGACCCUGCUCGGAUAUUGAAUUUCCUCUUGCGGUAUAUAAAAAUACGGAUGAAAAGUGGCGUUAAAAGGAACUACCGGUUUGAGAGAUCUUUUUCGGUUAUAUAAAAUUUUUAUAGUACUGAUAGCAUCGAUAGCGAGUGAAAGUCAAUUACGCUUAUGUAACAAUUCUUUCUUUUUUUACUAUAAAAAAAUGUUCUCAAAGUUAUUAAUUUUAGAUCCUGUAGGAAACGUUCGUGUUACAUUAAAAUGUAAAAU